rnacentral:piRNA from 1 species
UUCUACCGCUGCUGCUAAGUAGCUGUGGCCC